UACGGGGGGAGCAAGCGUUGUUCGGAUUUACUGGGCGUAAAGGGCGCGUAGGCGGCCAGCACAAGUCAGUUGUGAAAUCUCCGAGCUUAACUCGGAACGGUCAACUGAUACUGUGCGGCUAGAGUGCAGAAGGGGCAACUGGAAUUCUUGGUGUAGCGGUGAAAUGCGUAGAUAUCAAGAGGAACACCUGCGGCGAAGGCGGGUUGCUGGGCUGACACUGACGCUGAGGCGCGAAAGCAUGGGGAGCGAACAGG
rnacentral:rRNA from 1 species